rnacentral:lncRNA from 1 species
UUGAUGUUUUGCCAAGUAACUCAUCACUCACCAAUAGGUUUUACCUUUCUCCAUCCACGAAAAAAUAUCAGCACCUUUCUAGCUUUGCACUGCAUCUUUUUCUGGCAAGAAUGCAGCUAGCUAUUUGGACACUAUUAACUUGAUGGAGUACUUGUUGGAGUGCAGGAGUUGGUGACUGAAGUGGAAGCUGGAUCUUGCAGCGCCAACUUGACGGCUAACUGAUCGGGCAUUACUUGUGGUGCUCCUUCGAGUCUUUGCUACCGAUUGUGUGGGAGCAUCGAGCUAUGUUAUGCUAUAAACUUGAGACCUGCAAGUCUCCUAGCUAGAACUACUUUUACUAGUGUUAUGUUAUCACCGUGG